UAGUUUGAUCUGCAUUCAUACAGUCCUCUUUCCCUGAGACCUUAACUUGUGGUGUCUUCAGGUCCACAAGUAAGGAUCUCAGGAGCCGAGUGCUGACCAGCCUUCAGCAAUCGUUUG
rnacentral:precursor_RNA from 10 species